rnacentral:lncRNA from 1 species
GUGAGCUUUUUAAAAUUGCUGUUACUCGGGCUCCACCCCGAAAUGUUCAGAUUUAAUUUGUUUGAGGUGGAUCCCGGGCACUGGGAUGUUUAAGAGCCCCAGAUGAGGCUAAUUUGGAGUUAGGGUUGAGAAGCACUGUGUGAAAGCAUCUAAACUGGAGGAGCUGCUUCAUAGGAUGCCAUUCUCACAGGUGUGGGCAACUGAGACUCCUGGUGGGACGCCUGCCACAGCAUGGCCUUUCCCAAGCGGUGCCACGUCCGCACCCAGGAUUCGAACCAGCGAACCCCAGGCCGCUGAGAAGCAGAACGUGCCGCUGUGCCAUCGGGCCAGCCCCUCAAAGUGUGUUUUUUUGACCAUUCAUACCAUAAUCAUCUGGGGUGCUUAUUAACAUGCAGAUUCCUGGGUCCCAUUCCAGACCUACUGAAUGGAGCACUCUGGGAGGAUACCCAGGGCUCUGCAUUGUGGCGGUUGCUCCAGGGGAUUUUGGUGAGAGCACCAAUGCUUAACUGGUUUUCACUAUGUGGUAUUAACCCUGCGUGUCCUGAGGGUAUUAGUAAAUCCUAGUAAUUUAGUGUUCUUUUUUAGUUUUGCAAUCGCAAGGCUUCUAGCCCUGUAGCCUUGCAUCACUUCUCAGACAGAACCAUAAACUUUUUGCUGUGUAGGCUCUUUGCUAAUGAGAGGGAUGGCCUGAUUUAACCUUUCUGGCAUUCUUGACCAACUAACAGUUUCCUUGUAUCUUUCCUCAAUUCUGUCACAAAGCAGAAAAAGAAAAAAAAUGAAGUAGCAGCAUGAUGUCACUGGUCUGUUUAAUAACCCCAUGAUUAUCUAUUUCCAAUUAGCAGUUUCCCUGCCAGCUGGCCUCCGAGUGGCUCUGAGCUUGCCCUGGUAUCAGGUAUCCAGCUGCUUAGUGUUUGCUGAUUUAUUUGCAUCAAAUAGGCCCUUAAUAACUAUGUCUCACAGGAUCAAACAACUCUGCUUUUUGGCACAGAUUUCUCUCAAGAAUUUGGAGUUACAAAGCCAAGCUCUACCAGUGAUGUUGAAAACUGAUUAUUAGAGAGCACAAUGUAACUGUGAGGUAGCUGUAAAAGGUUUCUCCGUGCAGAUGAAACCUUUCAGAUUCCUGCUUUGCUGUUGUCUCUCUCCUGGUUCUCGUCUUUCUAACAGUAAACAGAAUCCUGGUGUCUUCAUCCUACUUCUGCUGUCAUACUUUUCUAAAAUUGAGCUGCCUUGGAUCCACUUCCCAGUUACAUUGAAGAAUUAAUGUGAUGACUUCCGAAUCAGAGGAUCAAAUUGAGCAUGGACUAAGAGACUCUAGUCCCACAUCAAACAUAUAGAAAUGUCAGAAAAAAAAUUAUUCAAAGUCAAAUUAAAAGGAGCCAAGCAGAAAUCUUAAACAUCAGAAACAGAGUCAUUGAAAUAAAGAGCU